rnacentral:rRNA from 1 species
ACCGACAGACAAUUAUGAAGGGCCAGGCUGAAGACUUUGCCGGAUUAGCUGAGAGGUGGUGCAUGGCCGUCGUCAGUUCGUACUGUGAAGCAUCCUGUUAAGUCAGGCAACGAGCGAGACCCACGCCCACAGUUGCCAGCGUACUCUCCGGAGUGACGGGUACACUGUGGGGACCGCCGCUGCUAAAGCGGAGGAAGGAAUGGGCAACGGUAGGUCAGUAUGCCCCGAAUAUCCCGGGCUACACGCGAGCUACAAUGGUUGGUACAAUGGGUAUCUACCCCGAAAGGGGACGGGAAUCUCCUAAAACCAAUCUUAGUUCGGAUUGAGGGCUGCAACUCGCCCUCAUGAAGCUGGAAUCCGUAGUAAUCGCGUUUCAACAGAACGCGGUGAAUACGUCCCUGCUCCUU